GGCGGCGUGCCUAACACAUGCAAGUCGAACGGAAUGGAGGGGCUUGCUCCUUCAUUUAGUGGCGCACGGGUGAGUAACGCGUAGAUAAUCUGCCUGAUGAUCCGGGAUAACACUUCGAAAGGGGUGCUAAUACCGGAUAAGCCCACGGUAUCUUUGGAUUCUGCGGGAAAAGGGGGGGACCUUCGGGCCUUCUGUCAUCAGAUGAGUCUGCGUACCAUUAGCUAGUUGGUAGGGUAAUGGCCUACCAAGGCUACGAUGGUUAGCUGGUUUGAGAGAAUGAUCAGCCACACUGGAACUGAGACACGGUCCAGACUCCUACGGGAGGCAGCAGUGGGGAAUUUUGCGCAAUGGGCGAAAGCCUGACGCAGCAACGCCGCGUGAGUGAUGAAGGCUUUCGGGUCGUAAAGCUCUGUCGAGGGGAAAGAAGUGUAUUGUGGCUAAUAUCCACGAUACUUGACGGUACCCCUAAAGGAAGCACCGGCUAACUCCGUGCCAGCAGCCGCGGUAAUACGGGGGGUGCAAGCGUUGUUCGGAAUUAUUGGGCGU
rnacentral:rRNA from 1 species